rnacentral:rRNA from 1 species
CGGGAGGCAGCAGUUAGGAAUCUUCGGCAAUGGGGGAAACCCUGACCGAGCGACACUGCUUGAAGGAUGAAGGUCUUCGGAUCGUAAACUUCUGAACCUGCGACGAAAAAUGACGGUAGCAGGCUAAUAGCACCGGCUAACUCCGUGCCAGCAGCCGCGGUAAUACGGAGGGUGCAAGCGUUAUCCGGAAUCACUGGGCGUAAAGGGCGCGUAGGCGGUUUGUUAAGUCCGAUGUUAAAGACCGAGGCUCAACCUCGACACGGCGUUGGAUACUGGCAAGCUGGACGGUUGGAGAGGAAGGUAGAAUUACCAGUGUAGCGGUGGAAUGCGUAGAUACUGGUAGGAAUACCCAUUGCGAAGGCAGCCUUCUGGACAACACGUGACGCUGAGGCGCGAAAGUGUGGGGAGCAAACCGGAUUAGAUACCCGGGUAGUCCACACCCUAAAC